CACAGAAACAAGUGGAGCUGAGACGGAGAUAAUAGAGUAGAGGGAGCGAGGAAGGACAGAAAGCAGAGAGGGUGAACAGGGAGGGAGGACAUGGGUGAUGCUAUUGGUCAUGGGGGGGGGGGGGGGCAUUAAAAGGAGGAGGCGUCUGAAGAUUGGGAAUUAAACGCUACGAGCGUCGAGCCCCGUGUCCUCGGCACGUGCACCGGGCCUCAAGAAUAAAAGGAGGUCCAGCCCAUCUGGCUGCGUGAAGGAGGAAGAAAGGGGAGCGAGAGAGGCCGAGAGACAUUCACUGACAGUGGGUGAGAGAGAUUCUGGAUCGCCCCAUGGGAUGAGGCAGAUUCAAUCUGAUGGUAAAAAUGUAUUCAGAAACAGCUUCAAUAAGACACACUCACCUUUAAUCUAAACGUGUCCUUCAGAAGAUUUUGCUAAACCUUCACAGUCUUCUGCCCACACUCACACCCUUUACCUCUGCUGCACUCGGCAUCUUGGCUGUUUCCAUGGCGACUGCAACCAGAAAAAGGGGGGCACGUGUGUGCGGACACCACCACCACCAGCAGCAGCAGCAGCGGCGGCAGCAGCAGGUCAUAGAGAAAGAAGAAAGAAAGAAAAACAGAGAGCGCAGCCGUCAUUAAAGGAGAAAACAGACCUCAGCAGGAGGAAGAGCUGGUCAUUCACAGGGAGGUGAGACGGCACAUAGAGUCCACCCCUGAAAAGGCCUGAAGCGCAGCCUGUUUUUACCACAUUUACAAUUACUCUCUACCAAACAUGGCGCCUGCUUCAUAUUUGUCAGUCUGGCUUUGCUGUUUUCACACACAUUAAUAAAAACAGAGACCUCUGACACCUUUCUCACAUUUACAGUAGUUGCUAUUAAGCAGUGAGACAGAUGUGGAGGGACCUUUGUCUCUCCAGAUGUUCUCCAGACGUUCUCCAGAUGUUCUCCAGAUGCUUUAUCUUUACUCUGGGUGUGGCUGCUCCAGGUUUCCGUCCUCUCGGCUUCAGCUCAGGAGCAGAAUGAAGAGAAAAUGUACAGCGUUAAUAUGACCACUGAGUGGCAUUAGGCCAAAACCACACUGUGACAGAGACAUCAGAGCCGGAGCAGCAGCAGUUUAAGGUCACGGAGCCAGAGUCCGGCCUCGGCCCCGUGAACAAGAGAGAGAAGUGAGACUUUAGCAGCAAUAAGUCAAA